GAUGAACGCUGGCGGCGUGCCUAAUACAUGCAAGUCGAGCGAACGGACGAGAAGCUUGCUUCUCUGAUGUUAGCGGCGGACGGGUGAGUAACACGUGUAUAACCUACCUAUAAGACUGGGAUAACUUCGGGAAACCGGAUCUAAUACCGGAUAAUAUUUUGAACCGCAUGGUUCAAAAGUGAAAGACGGUCUUGCUGUCACUUAUAGCUGGAUCCGCGCUGCAUUAGCUAGUUGGUAAGGUAACGGCUUACCAAGGCAACGAUGCAUAGCCGACCUGAGAGGGUGAUCGGCCACACUGGAAGUGAGACACGGUCCAGACUCCUACGGGAGGCAGCAGUAGGGAAUCUUCCGCAAUGGGCGAAAGCCUGACGGAGCAACGCCGCGUGAGUGAUGAAGGUCUUCGGAUCGUAAAACUCUGUUAUUAGGGAAGAACAGAUGUGUAAGUAACUGUGCACAUCUUGACGGUACCUAAUCAGAAAGCCACGGCUAACUACGUG
rnacentral:rRNA from 1 species